AUAUCAAUAAGCGCAGGAAAAGAAACCAACAGGGAUUGCCUCAGUAACGGCGAGUGAAGCGGCAACAGCUCAAAUUUGAAAUCUGGUCUCUCGGGGCCCGAGUUGUAAUUUGUAGAGGAUGUUUUGGGUACCGCCCCGGUCUAAAUUUCUUGGAACAGAAUGUCAAAGAGGGUGAGAAUCCCUCUGACGGCCGA
rnacentral:rRNA from 1 species